AAAUAUUGGGACCAAAAAACGUCUUCUAAUAUAGCUUUGACUGCUGGAUGCGGAGGUUUUCGUUGAACUGCCUUUUUAGCCGAGCUUUUCGGAGACGGUUUGCCGACAUCUGGGGAUCGAAGGGCUAUUUUAGGUGUGAAUGAAAGUCGAGGCGACUUGGAUGGCGAUUUUGUGGGAGAUGAUUUUUUUGGAGUAGAUUUCUUGGGUGAGGCUUUCUUAGCGCUUUUGGCCAAAGGACUGAUGACCUUGGGCCCAACGGCUGCUUUGACAGGGGUCACUUUUGUGACUGCUUUUUCUUUGCUUACACCUGGGGCAGGCUGCGACUUCCUUGACACAGCACUGGGUUUACCCAUGAGAGAAGUUUAGGAACAGGUAUUUUUGUAGACAUUCGAGCAGCUUUGGUAGGAACGGAUUUGGAAACGACCACUUUACUGGGUGUCGGUUUGGCUGGAGCAACCUUGCUCGGAGUUGCUUUGACAGGCGAUUUUUUAGCGGGAGUAGGUUUUGCUUGAACAGUUUUUGAUGGUGUAGCCUUUGCAGGAGAGGCUUUGGCUGCGACAACUUUUUGGGGGUUGCUUUUGCUGGAGUUGAUUUGACAGCAGAUUUUGCUGGAGUUUUCUUGACUGGCACAACUUUAGGGGUGGCUUUGGAUGGUGUGGAUUUUAGUGGUGCAGCCUUAAUAGGGGUGGUUUUCACUGGUGUUACUUUAGCAACAUCUCCGAUGGAUUUGAUUUUUGCAGCAGAAGCUUUGGCUUUCGGUGUGCUUUUGAUGACAGCUUUAGUGGGUGUCGAUUUUCCAGCUGCCAAUGAAACCGCGGCAGCUACCGGUUUCUUCAGAGCCUCAUCGCUGAAAGAACUGUGUGCUAAACCCAUGGGUUCCUUCACACUUUUCCUUCUCUGGGGAGAUACAACAGCAAUCAACUUUUUCGGAGGUUCAGACAGUCUUUUCUUCGGGCUUUUCAUGGUUAGUCAAACACGAUCUGUCAAUUAUAGUUCCUGAAAUAACAGAAUAAUUUACUUGGUAAAUGAGGAUAGAGAGGAGGUAAAAAAGUGGAACUGUGGAAAUAGCACUACAUAUCUAUUUACGACUGAGAUUAAAUGUCAUUGAAUGUUGAGCAUGGUUCUUCUUAGUUAUGGCUUAAGGCAAUGCAUCAAAAUUAUCAAAGGAUAGCACAACCUAAAAAUAGAGGAUAGCAAAUAUAUUUCACUUAACUUGGAACAUAAAUAAACUGUCAUAUUUAUGAACAAAAUCAAAAGAUAAACUGUAAAGGAGAGAAAUUGUUUUAAUUGGUCAAGCAUUGUUCCUCUUAAAUCUCUGCCAUCAAAAUUGUAUCGUGCAAGGAUCAUAUGCUUUGCUCCACGAAAGAUUUCAACAUGACGUAAAAUUAUUUGACAGUUGCUGUCAUU
rnacentral:lncRNA from 1 species